UACGAAGGUUGCGAGCGUUGUUCGGAAUCACUGGGCUUAAAGCGCAUGUAGGCGGAUGAGUAAGCGUUUUGUGAAAUCCCCCGACUUAACCGGGGAAUUGCUUGGCGAACUGCUCAUCUUGAGGCAAGCAGGGGUGCAUGGAACUCUUGGUGGAGCGGUGGAAUGCGUAGAUAUCAAGAGGAACGCCAAUGGUGAAAACAGUGCACUGGGCUUGUUCUGACGCUGAGAUGCGAAAGCGUGGGGAG
rnacentral:rRNA from 1 species